GGUGAUGUUGAUGCAGUACUCAAAGUGAGAGAUUUAGAAAUGGAAAUCAGAGAGUUUGCACUCAAAGCUGAAGACAACAUUGAACUACAACUUAGCAACUUCCUUCUCGCUCAUCAACACGGAGGAGAAAAAGCUGCAGCUUCCCAUCAACUCCUCCUCCAUCAAACUUUGAAAGAAGCUGCAAAAUAUGCAACAGACCUGUUGGAGUUAUCAAAAAUGGAAGAGGAAUUCAAAUAAUUCUGGUGCUGCAAUCAAAAUACUGGAAACCAAAAUCACAAACUUGGCACUCAAAACUGAAAAUGACCUCCAAAUACGACUAAAAAAGUUCCUUCUAGUCAAACACACCGUAUAUAAAGAAAGAGCUUCCCAGAAACUCCAUCACACCUUGCAAGAAGCAGCAGAAAGCGUACAAGAGUUGUUGAACAUAAUCAAAAGUAGAAGCAGCAGCAAUGAAGUUGAUGAUGAUGAUGAUGAUGAUGAUGAUGAUGAGGCAAAUCAAACUCAACCAUCAAAUACUUGGUCAAGACAUGCUAGCGCUGUGAAAGUUGAUUCUGAUGGCAGAAUGGUUGGCCGUCACAAUGACUGUAGAGUCAUAAAGGAACAACUCUUUUCUCCCCAUUUUUUCAUACCAGGUAUAAUCUCAAUUGUUGGAAUGGUGGGUAUUGGAAAGACGACUGUAGCAAGAAAUGUGUAUGAAGAUCCAUCACUUGCAUCCUAUUUCCAUGUAAGAGCUUGGGUUACUCUACCCCAUCAUCCUCAACACUACAAUAAGACCAGAAUGCUAAGCCAACUUCUUCACUCAAUUACACCAGUGGAAGAGCCAAAUGUAAUUAAAAAGGGAAGCACUCCUCAUGAACUAGAAAUGCAGGUACGCAAAUGCUUUGGUGGUAAGAAGUAUCUAAUUGUUUUGGACAACAUUACGAGCAAGGAAACUUGGAAGCAAGCUUGGAUUGACAUCAUAAGUUGUGUUGUUAAUAAUGGAUUAGAUGGAAGUUACAUAUUACUAACCACUAGACACUACUUCAGCCUAGAUGUCCACAAGAAAAGAUACCAUAUCCAUAAGAUGACUUUGCUAGAUCAAAAAGAAAGCUGGGAACUAUUUUGUAAUAUCCUUUCUAUUGAUGAAGAGCACUUGGCCCCUAAAUUUGAAAAUAUUAGGAACCAUGUUGUGGAGAAAUGUGAUGGAUUACCCCAGUUAAUUGUUGAAGUUGCCAGGCGUUUAUCUAAAUGCAACAACAUACAAAAAGGGUGGAAAGCGAUUGAGAAGGAAUUAGAGUCAUUGGGACUUCUAGAUCGCAAAGAACUUAGUGUUACUUACAAUAUGUUGCCACAUCAUUUGAAAUUUUGCUUUCUAUACUUUGGAGUCUUCCCAAAACGUAAAAAUAUUCUGGUUAAAAUGCUUAUAAGGUUGUGGAUUGCCGAGGGAAUGAUGAAGCCAUUGAAACAUAUGGAGUUAGAAAAUGAAGCUUAUGAGUACUUACAAGAGCUUACUGAUAGAAGUCUUCUCUUAAUUGAAGAUCGAAGUUGUAACGGCAAAAUAAAGACUUGUAGAAUGCACAGUGCCUUACAUAGCUUCUGCGUAGGAGAAGCUCAAAAAGAAGGUAUUUUAUGUGCAGUAAAUACUCAGCAACAUUUAGGAUUAUCAUUAAAAACAUUUACAAAUUCCUGUCGUUGGCUAAGUUCUUACUCACACUAUUUUGACUAUUAUGUGCUCUUUGGUAGAAACAUCCCUCGCUCCAUUUUCUUCUUUCUUGAAAAUCCCGAAAUGUUUGUUCCUCCCAAGCUGCUAAGAGUUUUGGCUUUUGAUACUUCUAUAUCACUUCAAAGAGUGCCAGUGCAAUUAGAAGGUUUAGUUUUUCUGAGAUACCUAUCCAUAACACAAUGGUUUGAGGAUCUGGAUCUUGUAGUGUUAAAUAAUCUAAAUUUAGAGACACUUGUUGUUUCCGGUAAUGGAGCACCAACAGUCCAUUUGCCAUCCAGUAUUUGGAAGCCACCAAACUUAAGGCAUCUCGAACUUGGCAAUUCAUAUAUGGUAGAUCCUCCAAGUGCAUAUAAAAACAAUUUACAAACAUUAUCUUGGGUGGUGAGACCAAUUCAUUGCAGACAAAAGGUGUAUAGCAAGUUCCCUAACAUAAAAAAUCUGAAAAUUUUCCUGAAGGAUGACAUAGAGCCCAGUCACAUUAGAAGAUGUUGCAGCAAUCCUAUUAUUUUGGAUCAUUUUGACUAUUUGGAAGGGCUUGAGAAGCUUAGCAUUUCGGAUUCUAUUGGUUUGAAUGCAGCCCUUCCAGAAAAGUGUAUGUAUCCUUCAAGAUUGAAGAAGUUGAAGUUGAGUGGGACUAAUAUUUCUGAGGGGGAUUUAAAUGUAAUUGCCAGGUUACCCCAGCUUGAGGUGCUCAAGUUGGAAAAUGCCUUCCAUGGAACGGUAUGGAAAGUAGCUGAUGGAGGAUUUUGUCAAUUAAUAUACUUUCUCCUUGAAGCUAAAGAACUCAAGCAGUGGGACGUUAGCUGUAAUCAGUUUCGGAUGCUCAAGCACUUAGUCUUAAGAUCCUGUAAUUGUUUGGAACAAAUCCCAAUGGUUUUUGCAGAAAUUUACCCCCUGAAGUCAAUUGAGUUGGAGGGGUGUAAGUCUUCCCUUGUCGCUUCUGCUAAGCAGUUAAAACAGAAGAGAAGAUCCAAUAAUGAUGUUAAGAUCAAAAUCUUUGGCCACGAAUAUGAUGACUCACAGAAUACACAUACAGAAUUGUCUAUAUAUGUAAGAUGACUUGGGGGGCCAGCCUGGCCUCAUAGUAAAUAACUGUUGGAAAACGGUAUCGAGUAUCCAGAAGUUGGUCUUGAAAGAUGGGCUCAAGAGUUUUGUGUUAAAAAGACGGUGGAUAACUUUUUAUUAGCAAACAUUAUAUUG